CAGGUCAAUGGCGCCGGCUCCUCGUGCUCUGUUUACCUCGCCUCUGGCAGCCGCGUCUACAGGAUCGAGAUAAGACUGGAUGCUAGUGUGAUGCUGUCCAAAGGAAACGAGAGCCUCUUGAUUCCUGAUAAUGCACAGGUCAUCAGUUCGUCGGUUGUGGAUCGCUGCCCACAUCGUUCUGAGAUCUAGAGUGUAGCUCAUGCCGAGGGCGAAGGUGCUGU